AACGAACGCUGGCGGCAUGCCUAACACAUGCAAGUCGAACGAGACCUUCGGGUCUAGUUGCGCACGGGUGCGUAACGCGUGGGAACCUGCCCUUAGGUUCGGAAUAACUCCCCGUAAGGGGUGCUAAUACCGGAUAAUGUCUUCGGACCAAAGAUUUAUCGCCUUUGGAUGGGCCCGCGUUGGAUUAGCUAGUUGGUAGGGUAAAAGCCUACCAAGGCGACGAUCCAUAGCUGGUCUGAGAGGAUGAUCAGCCACACUGGGACUGAGACACGGCCCAGACUCCUACGGGAGGCAGCAGUGGGGAAUAUUGGACAAGGGGCGAAAGCCUGAUCCAGCAAUGCCGCGGGAGUGAUGAAGGCCUUAGGGUUGUAAAGCUCUUUUAGCCGGGAUGAUAAUGACAGUACCGGGAGAAUAAGCACCGGCUAACUACGUG
rnacentral:rRNA from 1 species